UAGUGGCGGACGGGUGAGUAACGCGUGGGAAUCUGCCCUCAGGAGGGGGAUAACGGUUGGAAACGACCGCUAAUACCCCAUAUGCCGAGAGGUGAAACGAAAUUCGCCUGAGGAUGAGCCCGCGUCUGAUUAGCUAGUUGGUGGGGUAAAGGCCUACCAAGGCAUCGAUCAGUAGCUGGUCUGAGAGGAUGAUCAGCCACACUGGGACUGAGACACGGCCCAGACUCCUACGGGAGGCAGCAGUGGGGAAUUUCCCGCAAUGGGCGCAAGCCUGACGGAGCAACGCCGCGUGAGGGAUGAAGGCCUCUGGGCUGUAAACCUCUUUUCUCAAGGAAGAAGAACUGACGGUACUUGAGGAAUAAGCCACGGCUAA
rnacentral:rRNA from 1 species